AUGAGGGCCCAAACACAGCUACUGGGAUUCCUAAUGAUCUGCCUUAUAGGUGCCAGAUGUGACAUCCAAUUGACCCAGUCUCCAUCCUCCUUGUCUGCAUCUCUGGGAGAAAGUGUUACUAUCACAUGCCAAGCAAGUGACUAUAUAUAUGGUGCUUUAGCAUGGUAUCAGCAGAAACCAGGGAAAUCUCUUAAGUUCCUGAUCUAUGAUGCAAGAAGGUUGGCAGAUGGUGUGCAAUCAAGGUUCGUGGGCAGUGGAGAUGCUAGAGACUAUUCUCUUGAGAUCAGCAGUGUGCAGUCUGACGAUGCUGCCACUUAUUACUGUCUACAGAGUAAGGGUUCACCUCCCACAGUGAAUCAAGUCAUGACAUAA